rnacentral:lncRNA from 1 species
GACGAGGCCACAUAGAUGCGCGUGCCGUCAAAGGCCGAGCCCCACUGGAGGCCGCCAAUGUCGCCGCCGUGGCCCACGACCGUGACCCACGCCAGGCUGCCAUCGGCCGGGUGGAGCGCGAAAAAGAGCCCGUUCUUUUGGCCGACGCCCACGAGGGGCACCUUGGCGGCGCCCGAUUCAUAGUAGAAGCGCAGCGGGGCCUGGCCAAAGUCGGCGUCUUCGCCGGGAAAGGCCGGGCAGUUGGCGUUGGGCGGGCCGGGGAGGCCCACGCGCUCGGGCUUGCACCCAACGGUCCACACGUCGACGCCGUUCUGCGCCGUAAACGAGAGGUUCCACCGGACGGCGCCCGUGUCCAGGUCCAGCGCGAUGACGGCCUCGGCCAGGUUGUUGGGGUCUGACGGGCACUGUGAGGCAUCACCCUCGUGCGCGUCCACGCAGGCCUGCACGUCUGCGGGCACCUUGUAGUUGUUGCCCGUGGCCACGUAGACGGUGCGCGUGUCGAGGUCGACCGACGGCGACGAGCCCCAGAUGGCGGCGCCAGCAUAGCCCGCCACCGUGGUGUAGGUCUUCCACACAAUGACGCCCGUGCGCGCAUUCAAGGCGACCAGCGACCCGCGAAAGUCGCAGCACGCAUAGUUGGGGAAGCCGGCAAAGGAUUCUUCGAUCGACGACACACCCACGAGAACAAGGCCGUCGACGGCCGUCGGCGACAUGGUGAUCACGGCCGCCGGAUGAAUUUCGACCAGGGUCUUCCACAAGAGUUGGCCGGUGCGCGUUGACACGGCAAACACGUGGCCCGAUGCGGCGUCUCCGAAAAACAGGGCUUCGCCAUGGAGGGCCGGCGUGCCGCGGAUGGUCGUGCCGUUGCUGCGGCCCGUGGCCGGAUUGUAGAUGCCCACGUUGCCGGUAAAGUUGCCCACGUCGGCCUCCCAAAUGGUGGCGCCCGUGUCGCCGUCGACGGCCCACAGGGAACCGCCCAGAUCGGGGAUGUAGACGACGCCACGCUUGUCGACGGCCGGCGGCGAGGCCACAUCGCCGUGCAUGGCCUUGACCCACGCCGGCAUCAGCGAGCCCACGUUGCACGCGGCAAUGUCGCGCUCCUGUGCCGCGUGAUGGUCAUUGUCCAGGCCGCCGCCCCAGUUGGGCCACCACGCCUUUUUCUGCGGGUGGCCGCCAUGGUUGGAGCCGUAGGUGGCCGACGCCGGCAACGUGCCGAUGGUGCAUGCCAUCAAUGCCGUCACGAUCAGGACCAUGGUCGAGAGAUGUGCGCCGUGGCCGCGGCGCGGGCGAUUGUCCCAUUGUACGCGUGCCAUUCGAAUGACGCGUAGAGGGGGUUUUUUUCGUAAACAAAGACGAAAAGGAGUGUGUGCU